CCACGCAGUAAAAGAUGAAUGCUAGCUGUCCGGGGCGAAUGAGUUCUGGGUGGCACAGCGAAAGCGUUAAGCAUCCCACCUGGGGAGUACGCCGGCAACGGUGAAACUCAAAGGAAUUGACGGGGGCCCGCACAAGCGGAGGAACAUGUGGUUUAAUUCGAUGAUACGCGAGGAACCUUACCCGGGCUCAAACGGCACAGUGAUACUUUUGAAAGGAGGUAGCUCUACGGAGACUGUGCCGAGGUGCUGCAUGGUUGUCGUCAGCUCGUGCCGUGAGGUGUCGGCUUAAGUGCCAUAACGAGCGCAACCCCUAUUGUCAGUUGCCAGCAGGUAAAGCUGGGGACUCUGACGAGACUGCCGGCGCAAGCUGAGAGGAAGGCGGGGAUGACGUCAAAUCAGCACGGCCCUUACGUCCGGGGCGACACACGUGUUACAAUGGCAGGCACAGCGGGAAGCCACCCGGCGACGGGGAGCGGAACCCGAAAGCCUGUCUCAGUUCGGAUCGGAGUCUGCAACUCGACUCCGUGAAGCUGGAUUCGCUAGUAAUCGCGCAUCAGCCAUGGCGCGGUGAAUACGUUCCCGGGCCUUGUACACACCGCCCGUCAAGCCAUGGAAGCCGGGAGCGCCUGAAGCGCGUGACCGCGAGGAGCGCGCUAAGGUGAUACCGGUGACUGGGGCUAAGUCGUA
rnacentral:rRNA from 1 species